rnacentral:rRNA from 1 species
AGCAGCCGCGGUAAUUCCAGCUCCAAUAGCGUAUAUUAAAGUUGUUGCAGUUAAAAAGCUCGUAGUUGAAUUUCGGGAUCAAUAUAUCGGUCGUGCCCUUGGUACGUACUGGUAUCAUUGAUUUCUCCCUUCUGACGAACCAUGAUGUCAUUAACUUGGUGUCAUGGGAAAUCAGGACUGUUACUUUGAAAAAAUUAGAGUGUUUAAAGCAAGCUAACGCUUGAAUACAUUAGCAUGGAAUAAUGAAAUAGGACGUUUGAUCCUAUUUUGUUGGUUUCUAGGAUCAACGUAAUGAUUAAUAGGGAUAGUUGGGGCAUUAGUAUUCAAUUGUCAGAGGUGAAAUUCUUGGAUUUAUUGAAGACUAACUACUGCGAAAGCAUUUGCCAAGGAUGUUUUCAUUAAUCAAGAACGAAAGUUAGGGGAUCGAAGACGAUCAGAUACCGUCGUAGUCUUAACCAUAAACUAUGCCGACUAGGGAUCGGAUGAUGUUAAUUUUUAAUGUACUCAUUC